rnacentral:lncRNA from 1 species
CUUCUUGAGUGGAACUCUUUCCACUGAUUCCAUUUACAAUUCUUUUCUGCCUUUGUAGCUGGUUUCAUGAGUUCCUGAGGUCACAACAAUGACUCACCAGGCAGAUAAGACUUCUGAGGAUGAGUUCUUCUGCACUGAAUUCACUAGGCUGCACCUCAGAUAACCAGCCUAUUCUCAAGCAUGCGUUUUAGAGCUUAAUGAAAUAUUUUUGAAAUCAAGUGAAGACCUGACUUGAUGACCUUUGGAAAUGCUAGCAGAGUAUUUAAUACCCACUGAUGGGUUCUGAACCGUUCUAAUUCUGAGUCCUGGUUUCUCUUUUCUGGACAGGUGCUGCUGGGAACAUGACUGCUGCUAUCAAAAGUUAGAAGGAAAACAUGAAUCCAAAAUCCAAAAUUAUAGCUUCACCUACAAAGCAGGUGUUGUCACCUGUAACGAUUUGAACUUCUGUAAGGCUGAAAAUUGUAUUUGUAACAAGCUACUUGCUGAAUGUUUGAAGAAACACGUGAGCAGCUUCAGCUCUGAAUACAGAGGCUUUCCCCACUCCCGCUGAAGUGAGAAAAGAGUUCCGUGCCUAGCCUGAGCCUGUCAGGUCCCUUUCUUGUCCUUAUCACUUAUUUCUCCCCAGGCUUUCCAAACUCUGGGCUCCCAGAAUCCUCCAAGAUGGUCCCACAUCUCAGCUGUUAACAAACAAACAAAAAAAGAGGCUCCUGAGAUUUGGGGUGGGGGGUGGUAGUGAUCAUGAGACUUCGGGCUGGAAGAGGCUUUGGAAAGUAUUGAGGCCAGAGGUGUCCAACGUGGGGCCCAGGGGCUGAACCAGAUUAAAAUGUAAUUGGGAAAUAGAUCAACAAAACAAGUAAAAUACAGUCGAAUAUCAAUAUUGUUAACGUGUGGUUUCCUACGUCAUUAUGCUGCUGGCACGGCUCUUUAGGUAUGGUUUAGUGGCCCCACUUUUGAUAUCUGUUUGACCCCAUUUACUCUAGUCCAAACUUUUUGUUUUAUAAAGGAGGAAAGUGAAGUCCAGAGAGUCUCAGG